UACGUAGGGGGCAAGCGUUGUCCGGAGUUACUGGGCGUAAAGCGCACGCAGGCGGUCUCUUAAGUUUGGAGUGACAGUUGGUGGCUUAACUGCCAAAGUGCUUCGAAAACUGAGAGACUUGAGGGCUUCAGAGGGACACGGAAUUCCGGGUGGAGUGGUGAAAUGCGUAGAUAUCGAGAGGAACACCGGUGGCGAAGGCGGCCAACUGGACGAGUACUGACGCUGAGACACGAAAGCGUGGGGAGCAAACAGG
rnacentral:rRNA from 1 species